GCAAACUUGGUCAUUUAGAGGAAGUAAAAGUCGUAACAAGGUCUCCGUUGGUGAACCAGCGGAGGGAUCAUUACAGAGUUUUCUAAACUCCCAAACCCAUGUGAAUCUUACCUUCUGUUGCUUCGGCGUAUGAGCUACCUGGCACUGCCUACCCGGCAGUCCAGGGCGCCCCCAGCGCCGGUGGCCUACCAAACUCUGUUUAUUUUGUAAUUCUGAAUUAUAAACUUAAUAAGUUAAAACUUUCAACAACGGAUCUCUUGGUUCUGGCAUCGAUGAAGAACGCAGC
rnacentral:misc_RNA from 1 species